ACAGCGCGUGGUGCGGGUGACGGGACCGGGGGAGCGCGGGGGUCCCUGAGGGGGACCCGAGGGUCUUUGAGGUGUCCCGGUGGCGCUCCGGGGUCCCUGAGGGGGUCCCGGGGGCGCUCCGGGGUCCCUGAGAGGUCCCGGGGGUCCCUGAGGGGGUCCCGGGUGUCCCUGAGGGGGUCCCGGGUGUGCUCCGGGGUCCCUGAGGGGGUCCCUGCGGUGUCCCGGGGCUGCCCGGCGCUCCCCGCUGCCCGCAGGGCGCUGCUGCCCCCGGCCAUGUGUCGGUAGCGCGGUUCUGGCGGAGCUCCCUCGCCAUGGAGGGCAGCGGCCCCAGCCCGGAGCCCUGGGCCGGGCGGGCGCUGCCGGAGCCCGCCGAGCUGGCGGCGCUGCUGGACGCGGCCGAUCCGCGCUGCCCGCCCGGGCUGGCGGAGCUGGCGGCGGCUCUGGGCGCCUCGGCGGCCCCGCCGCGCCGGGAGCGGGACGGAGCCGAGCCCCGCGGGCAGGACGCGGCGGGGGCAGCCGCGGCGGAGCGGGCGGAGCGCGCUGGGUCCCUGUUCCUGCUGCUGCUGCAGAAGCUGGAGGCUGCCCGGGGCUGCCCCGUGCCCCGCACGGUGCUGGGACACGCGUUCAUCUUCGCCGUCACGCACAAGGACGAGCGGCCCUGGAGCACGGCGAGGAGCCGGGCAGUGGCCCGGGAGCUGCUGGAGCGCCUGGUGCGGGCUGCGGGCUGCGCGUCCGUGGAGGAGUUCCUGCAGGGAAAGGACGGGGAUGAGCAAGGAGGAUUCGGAGCGGUGAUGGGGCUGCUGAAGCAGGAGUUAACCAAGGACACCUGGAAGUGCAACCCCGCCUCCAAAGUCGUGUUCAGCUGGGCGCUGCUGCGCGUCCGCCGGCCCUGGCUGUGCCCGCACCUCGAGCGGGUCCUGCCGCCCGCGCUGCUCCUCUCCGACGACUUCCAGGAGGAGAACAAAGUGCUGGGCGUGCGCUGCCUGCACCACAUCGUCCUCAACGUGCCAGGAGCGGAUCUGUGCCAGUUCAACAGGGCCCAGGUGGUGUUCCACGCCCUCUACAACCACCUCUACUCCCGGGAGGCUCCUCUCAUCCAGGCAGUGCUGCUGUGCCUGCUGGACCUGCUGCCCGUCCUGGAGCGAUGCCAGCGGCACCAGGGCCACGGCAGAGCCACGGGCCCCUGGGACCAGGUGCUGCAGCUGGUGCUGACCCACAUGGAGGCCGAGCAUCGGCUGGCACUGCGCAGGGUGUACGCAGGGACCCUGCCAGCCUUCGUCACCAGGCUCGGCAUCCUCAUCGUGAGGCACCUGAAGAGGCUGGAGCGAGUCAUCCUGGGCUACCUGGAGGUCUCUGAUGGCCCCGAGGAGGAGGCCAGGCUGGGAAUCCUGGAGACUCUGCAGCGCACCAUAGAGCACGCCUGGCCCAGGAUGCCCUGCAGGCUGCCCGUGCUGCUGCAGGCGCUGCUGAGGCUGAUCUGGGACGUGCACACGGAGCGGGGCCCGACCCCCGAGCCCGUCAGAGCCGCGCUGCUGCAGGGAGCCACGCAGAGCCUGACCCUGCUGGACCGCUGCUGCCACGGCCGCGUCAAGGUGAGCCAGGGCAGGUAAAGGUGAGACAGGACAGGGUGAGGGUGAGCCAGGGCAGGUAAAGGUGAGCCAGGGCAGGUAAAGGUGAGCCAGGGCAGGUAAAGGUGAGGCAGGGCAGGUAAAGGUGAGGCAGGGCAGGUAAAGGUGAGCCAGGGCAGGUAAAGGUGAGACAGGGCUCCCUGCUGCUGCCACGGCCGCGUCAAGGUGAGCCAGGGCAGGUAAAGGUGAGACAGGGAUGGGUGAGGGGGAGCCAGGGCUGGGUUAAGGUGAGACAGGGCAGGUAAAGGUGAGACAGGGAUGGGUGAAGGUGAGCCAGGGCUCCCUGCCAGGGCCGGGUCAAGGUGAGGCAGGGCAGGUAAAGGUGAGGCAGAAGCAGGUAAAGGUGAGCCAGGGCUCCCUGCUGCUGCCACGGCCACGUCAAGGUGAGCCAGGGCAGGUAAAGGUGAGACAGGGAUGGGUGAAGGGGAGCCAGGGCAGGUAAAGGUGAGACAGGGAUGGGCAAAGGUGAGCCAGGGCUCCCUGCCAGGGCCAGGUCAAGGUGAGGCAGGACCGGGUGAAGGUGAGACAGCGAUGGGCGAAGGAGAGCCGAGGCCAGGCAAAGGUGAGCCAGGGCUCCCUGCUGCCUGCCAGGGCUGGGUGAAGGAAGGGAAGCCAGGGCUCCCUGCUGCCUGCCAGGGCCCUCCUCCCUCUCAGUCCAGCAGGAAUUUGAAUUUCCCCCCUCCCCAGCACCAGCAAUAAGUGACUCCAUAGCUGUGGAGGGGGCUCAGCCCGGGCUCUGCUCUGCAGAGGGCAGGGGACACCAGGGCUGCGUGCAGGGCACUGGGGACGUGCUGUUCUCGCUGCAGGUGCUGCUGCAGGGGCUGCAGGGCAGCUGCCAGGAGAGCCGGGUGCAGGAGUGCCUCAGGAAGGUGCAGGAGAGCACCUGAGGUGCCUGAUGCUGCUCAUCCCUUUUGUACAAUAAAAUCCUUGUAUUUA